AUUGAACGCUGGCGGCAGGCCUAACACAUGCAAGUCGAGCGGAGCGGCGGACGGGUGAGUAAUGCCUAGGAAUCUGCCUGGUAGUGGGGGAUAACGUCCGGAAACGGGCGCUAAUACCGCAUACUAUCAGAUGAGCCUAGGUCGGAUUAGCUAGUUGGUGGGGUAGAGGCCAACCAAGUCGACGAGCCGUAACUGGUCUGAGAGGAGGAUCAGUCACACUGGAACUGAGACACGGUCCAGACUCCUACGGGAGGCAGCAGUGGGGAAUAUUGGACAAUGGGCGAAAGCCUGAGCAAGCCAUGCCGCGUGUGUGAAGAAGGUUUUCGGAUUGUAAAGCACUUUAAGUUGGGAGGCGGUACCUACAGAAUAAGCAACGGCUAACUUCGUGCCAGCAGCCGCGGUAAUAC
rnacentral:rRNA from 1 species